GUUGGGGUGGGAAACGAGGCACGAGAUCGCGGUGGGCGCGGCGAGGGGAUUGGCCUACCUGCACCACGGCUGGGGCCGCCCGAUACUUCACCGGGACGUCAAGUCGAGUAAUAUACUGCUGGAUGAGUGCUUCAAGCCUCGGAUUGCCGACUUUGGCCUCGCCAAGGUACUUUACGCGGCCGGAGGUGGUGAUUCCUCGGCGCAUGUCAUCGCUGGCACCCACGGCUACAUCGCCCCCGGUACGUUUACCACGCUCGCCGAUGUUUUCUCUUGUGCAUACAUAGCUUGAUUAGAGAUAGGUCUCUCAUUUUUUAGUAUGAUAAUAGCAACAGGAAUAACUAAAAGACAAGGAGAAACUAGCAAGAAACUUUGAAUGAUGAUGACAACAAUAAUAACCAAAAGACCAGAGGAAACUAGCAAGAAACUCUUUUCCACGUAUGCUCUUAUUAAACUUUUGUGCAUCUUAUCAUGAUCUAAUUUGCAAGACGUAGGCAUGCAGAGCAUACCUACACCAUAUCUCAUGCCCUAAGCUACCUGAGAUAGUACUAACGAUCUAUUAGACUUUAAGCUGUUCCUUUUUUGUUAUUCCCUGUUUUUUUUGGAAGCUUUCUAACGUCAUUUCCCUAAGGCUACUGAUUUACAUGCUUGCUUGUGAUAGUGGCAAUUAAACUGGCUAGCUUUUGUUAUCCGUUAAUUGAAUUGGUACUCAUUGCCUUUGGUUUGGGUUGGUUCAGAAUAUGCCUACACAUGGAAGGUGAACGAGAAGAGCGACGUGUACAGUUUCGGAGUGGUUCUAAUGGAGCUGGUGACGGGCAGAAGGCCGAUAGAGCCCGAGUUCGGUGAGAACAAGGACAUAGUCUGCUGGGUUUCCCGGAGGAUGAACAGCGGGGAGAGCGCGGUGGAGCUGGUGGACAGGACAAUUCCGGACUGGGGGAGGGAGGACGCUGUGAAGGUGCUGAGAGUCGCGGUGCUCUGCACGGCGAGGCUUCCGGCAAUGAGGCCGUCCAUGAGGACGGUGGUCCAGAUGCUGGAGGAGGCCGAAGCCAGGAGCUUGCGCUUGAAGGUUGACAAGGUGGAGGGUGGAGGCUAUAAAUUUGAAGGGAAAGAAAUAGGAUGCGAGAAAGUUAAGCUGAGCCCAUAAUAGAUAGUGUUAAGAAGUCUCCAAGCCUGCAAUAUAUAAAUAGUCCAACUGGCAUCAGUUUAAAGGGUAGAGAGAGGGAGAUGGAAUCGGAGGACUCAAAUCUGUACAUAUAUAUAGAGAGAGGGAGAUUUUGGUAGAGCAAAUUAUUCUUACCGGCAAUGAUAGUCGUGCUAUGGUAGCCUCAACCUCCUCCAUUCUUCUGAAUAUAUUGCCUACCUCCUUCUAGUUCUACUUACAUAGACUGCAUUUGGCCAUAGCUAGUUUCUGAGAGACUUUCUAUACAUGGGAUUACCUCGCACUGGCCGCCUCCACACCUCCUGAAUCAUAUCUCACGAUCAAGAAAAGGAUAACCAUAUCUUCUCAAAGCGCAAAAGACCAUAAUGUGCAACAAGGGUCGUGGUACUCACUAGAAUGGGACUGUGGUCUGAUGCAAUCCGGUGCAGGUGAUAUAUCCGAAACUUCGGAAACCGCUACACCCAGCUUGUUGAAGCGAAGCUCCAGUCAAUCCUCUCCCGGACACGUGCUCGGCCAAAGAAGCCAAGAUCAAGCAACCCACUUCUUAGAAGGAAGUCUAGGAACUUCCUAACCUCGAUUUUAUUGGAGAAGGCCUCCUACCACGCUUCUCCUCGGGACCGUCGAUACAGUUGAAAUCCCCUGCCGCCAAGGUUGGAUACCCCUGUUGGACCAAACUUGUCACCUCACUCCACAACACCCGCCUCUACCUAUAGUGAGUACUAGCAUAAACCACAGACAGGACCCACGAAGGCUCAUCACCUUCAGAAAUAACCAGAGUAACCUGCUAAUGGCAAUUGUAGAAAGCAUCGAGAUUGCAUGACUCCACUCUCUACAUAACUAUGAUGCCGCUAGAUAGCUCCUAGGACUCCACUGCAUAGAACUCGCAGGGCCUGGGGAUAGCCCGCCUCGCAUGUUUUUGAAAUGAAAAAAAAAUAAAGAAAAAGAAAAAUAUAGUACUGUGAAACAUAAUGGGUGAAACACGUUUGAGAAUCGCUUAUAUAACCCGAACCUAACUGGAAAAUUUGCAAGAGUUUUAAAUGCUAAGUCAAAUGACAACUUCAAUUAAGUUCAAGAUUAGACUAUUUUAUCAGCAGUGGUAGUAGGCUGGACCUUUUGAGUCUGGCUUUGAACACUUGAUACCACCAUGAACAUUUACGUGGGCUUGAGUUGUAGAGCUGGACGUAGUAACUCAGCCCAUGCCAACCUUGGUGGAGCCCGUGGUCCUCAACACUCUUAUCAAUAGAACUAUAAUUAGUAGAUCUCUUAUCUAUUACGAUUUUCUAUCGAUAUAUAAUGAUAUUAAUAAUAAAAUUAUAUUAAAUAAAAAGCAUUUCAUUAUUACUACUAAAUUAAUAUAAAAAUUAAAAUAUUAGUAAAAAUAUAUUAUUUAAUGGCUGCUGAUAUUAAUAAAAAAUACUUUUUAUUAAUGCCAAUAUCCUGCAUGAACCAUCGGGUUGCACUAACAUUGAUUAAGUUAAUUGAUAUAAGAAAAUAAUAUAUUAUUAUAAAGUAAUUGGAUCAUGGGUACAAGCUCCGUGUGGGAGUUUGUUUGCGCAAAGGUCUUAUCAAAUUCUCAUGGGGCGAGAGACAAAGGCAUUAUUUUUGCAGAAAAAUUAUAGGGAUGCUCCAUCAACUUUAGACUGGUUAUAUUCCGAUCUCAAAUUUUUUAAAAAAUUUAAUUACCUACCAAAACUUAAUUUUUAUUACAGUGUGGCUUAUCUGUCUAUCUUCGUUAUAAAUCAUUAUCAUACGAUGGUCACCUAAGAACAAAACAUUCAUAAAAUUUCAGAAAUUCCCUCCCACUUGGAUCAUCUAUUGGUUGCUUUGAGAUUUGUGCAAGNNNNNNNNNNGAAUGAUGAAGUGCAAAGCGCUUUGGGAUAUAUAUGUUAGGUUAUGCGACAGUAGUUUCGCAAAAAAAAAAUAAAUGUUCUUUUGUAGGAAAGGCACGGUCCAGCCUCUUUGAGUCAAAAGUAUUUCUAUCUUUUUUUCUCAUCUGUUAAUAGUGUUAGGGUUCAGUUAGAUGGUUAGGUGAUAUUGUGACGAGAAUUCAAUUUGUGUGGCAAAUUGGAAUAUUUUAUAAUUUAAAGAUUGAACUGUACCGAGCUUGAAUUUGCAGGGUGUUUUUGUAAUUUUUUCUAUUGUCUGCAAACUGAAUGGGUGCCCUAUUUUUCCGGCUCUCCCAUCUAACUCUUGGAUUUGCAUGCAUCCACCUCAACUCGGGAAAGCAUCAAAUAGUAUUAGGGGUAAAAGUGGAUCGGAUAAUAUCUAUUAGAAUUUAUUUUUGUAUCUAAAUUUAUCCGGAUAUUGAUAGAAAUUUGAACAUCUGACUAAUAUCUAUUUUUGUUUCCAUAUCUGAUGGGGGGCGAAAUGGAUCGUCCAACCCAUAGCUAAAAGGCUGCCUAGUUUUGGCCCAAUAAACGCCAACACCGACCGGUUGAAUCCUCGGUCCGGCCCAGAAUCAGCUCGGCCUCGGACUCCGCCAAAAGCUCCAUCGGCUUCGGAUAUUUGCCGACUCCCCCGACCAAGUUCGGGGCGCCUCUAGUACUCGCGACCCGCCCCAACCAAGCUCGGGCGCCCACUUCAGUAGUAUGCCCCGACCCUCGAGCUCGGGGCGUUCCAUCGAGUACACCCCGGAACCUAGAGAGCCGAGCUACCCUCAGCACCCGUCUAGCCAACCUCGCCAAAUGCAUGACGCAACCUCUCAACGGGCUCGGCCUCGCCAACAACCGUACCCGCGUGCGCGCCCACGGCCUCCUACGUGGUCGUACCUCACAACACCACCGCGCCACGAUUCGACAACUGGCUUUCAACAAUCAAAGAAUGGCACUAUGACUACUCCGGCCAUACCCUACUGUGACUGUCAACACCUUACCGCUCUCGAGAACAAACAGCACCACACGCCACUAACCAACCUUAGCUGCAUGUCAUUCAGCUCAGAGCCACGCCCCCCUCUCAUGAUGAGGGCGGACAGUGCCUCUGCCACCUAGGCCUCUCCACUGGGACUAUAAAUAGUCGGAUCAGGUAACUCCUAUGGGACUUUUGGCUGGACCAAAUUUACCUCACUCUAACUUGAUUGUCGGAGGGCCCUUACCAGAAACACCGAUGAGGCUUUGUGCAGGUCUUCCGCCACCGUCACGCAGGAGGUGGCCCCAGUCUUCUUCCUCCCAUCAACGGCAGCUCCCUCGACUCUUCCGGCGUGGUCACCCUCAGGCCAAGUUUGAACCAUAACAAUAUCCAUUAAAGAAAAACGGAUAUGGAUAUGGAUAUGGAUAAACAGCUAUCCAAUCCGCAUCCGAAUAUUCGAUUCUAUUUGUAAUCCUAUAUAAUUUUAUAUGAUACUUAUAAUUUUUUUAAAAAAUAAAUAACCAUAUUAACAUGUUAUUAACUUGAUUUAUCAUCAACUUAGUAUUUUUUAUUCCAUGUUAUAAAGUUUAAUUAUCUAAUUUAAAUCAAUAUUUUUAAUAUCUGAUUUGUAUUCAUAUCUGUUGUGGCUCAAAUUUGGCUCGAGAGUGACCACGCCGGAGGAGUUGAGGGAGCCGCCGGUGGUUUGAAGAAGAAGAAGCGGGCCACCUCCUGUGCAACGGUGGCAGCGGACCUGCACAAAGCCUCGCCAGUAUUCCCAGUGAGGACCCUCCAACAAUCAAGUUAGAGUGGGGUAAGUUUGGUCCAGCCAAAAAAAGCUCUCUUAGAAGUUACUUGACCGGAUUAUUUAUAGUCCCGGAGAAGAGGCACAAGUGGCAGAGGCACUGUCCACCCUCAUCAUGAGGGGGCGUGGCUCUGAGCCGAAUGGCGCGCAGCUAAGGCUGGUUGGUGGCAUGUAGUGUUGUCUGUUCUCGAGAACGAUAAGGUGUUGACAGUCACAGCAGGAUAUGGCCGGAGUAGUCAUGGUGCCGUCCUUUGACUGUUGAAGCCCAACUAUCGAAGCGUGGCAUGGUGGUGUUGUAAUGUACGACCACGUAGGAGGGCGUAUGCACGCACAUGGGUGCGAUUAUUGGCGAGGCCGAGCCGUUGAGAGGUCGCAUCAUGCGUUCGGCGAGGUCGGCUAGACUGGUGUUGAGGGUAGCUCGGCUCCCCGGGUUUCGAGGUGUGCUCGGUGGAGCGCCCCGAGCUCGAGGGUCGAGGCGUACUACUGAAGUAGACGCUCCGAAUUUGGUCUGGACGGGGCGGCGAGUAUUAGAGGCACCUCAAACAUGGUCGGAUGAGCUGGCGAAUAUCCAAGGCCGAGCUGAUUCUGGGCCGGACCGAGGAUUCAACCGGACGGUGUUGGCAUUUAUUCGGGCAAAACUGGACGGCUUUUUAGCUGUGGGCUGGACGAUUCAUUUCGUCCACCAUCAAUAUCUAUUUAAAAUAAAUAUGCAUAUGAAUUUUUUAUCCGACUAAUCAUAUUUAUAUUCGUCAAAUAAAAUAAAUAUAGAUAUAGGCAUAUUAUUAUUUAAUUCUAUUUCAGUCCUAAUUAAAUAAUAUAUUAAGAAAAGUAAAGUUUCUUUUUUAGUCAUAAAGUUGGCCUAUCCUUCGCACCGCACGCGUGCAGAAAAAAGAUAACUUCAGCAGCAUACUGUGAGUGACCCGUGUCCAACCUAAUUAUUCACCACCUGGGGCCCUUAAGCUGUACGAGUAGCUAAGGAUGAACCCCUGAGGAUGAACUUGGGAGCUGGCAUAUACCAAUGGUCAAAGACAGCAGGCAACUUGUGGUGCGACGAGCAAAGCUUCUUUUUGUUUGUUUGUUUGUUUGCUUGUUUGUGAUAGAGCAUUGGCUGGGGCCACGUUUAUUUUGUUAUCAUGAAAUCAGUAGGAGAAACAAUGAUGGAAGUACCUGCAGAAAAAGCACAACAAUAAAAGAAUGCAUCCUGCAACCUACCACAGAAUGCAUGCAUGGUGUAAAUUGGCACGAUGGCAGCACCCUUUGUCCCGUGCGACGAACAGUGAAACGUCUUGGUACGUGUGAUUCCACGUGAGUGAGUGUGAGAAAAACCCAUUCGUUUCCUACUCUGCAGCCUCUGCCACUCGAAAUGAAGACAUGAGACAGGAGCAAGAGCUCUUUUUGGCUUCCUAGGCCACGAUAGGUUGGAUGAAUGGAGCCGCAAUCGUGAUGUGAUGGAGCCUAAGAUUCAAAAUAGGAAGCUAAAUUUAUGUGGGACGACGACGAAGGGAGGUGGUGAUGGAGGGAGUGACUGCUGCCGGCCAGAGCCCAUCUCUUAUUGAUGCCAGGGCCGAUAUUUCAACAAAGAUUGGUUGGCUUUGACCAAUUGUUAGCUGUGGCGAAGCUGGUCGAUAGUNNNNNNNNNNNNNNNNNNNNNNNNNNNNNNNNNNNNNNNNNNNNNNNNNNNNNNNNNNNNAGUGCUAGUCUAUUUUAGUUAAAUUGAGUUUUAAGGUUAAUGUUUUUUAAUUAAUUUUCAAUUGAAGUGGAAUAGUGAUAGUAUAGCCUUAUAAAUGGAGAGAGAAAGUUACACGUAAAGAUGUGCUUGGCGAGGUCGGUUCGGCCUUUGGCAAGCUGAGGUUGCCCUGGCUGCUGGUCAAGGUCGGCUCAGCCUUUGGCGGGCUGAGGUCGGCCUGGUUCUGGUCAAGGUCGGCUCGGCCUUUGGGGGGUCCGAGGUCGGCUUGCUCGGCUUUGAGAUUUGCUCGGCCGGAAUUAGGUGACUCCAUGCCGGAAUAGGACGACCCAUUUUGCCUCCUAUCAAUUUCUAACACUAUUUUGACAACUCCACUCACGAAAAUACGGCAUGGAUAUGGAUGGCAAUUCAAGAAUUUAUGAUUAUUUCCUGGACUUGAAAUCAAGAAGAGCAAAUUAGGAAUAGCUCAUGACCCAUGAUCAACUUACCAACUAAUAUAUUUUCUUUAGUAUAGGCCCCACCAAUUUUAUUUGACCAUCCUUGGAAAGCUCCUUUAUUCUUUGGGUGGUUAAUUGAGAGGGGCAAAGAGUGCACAAAGAAUUGAAACAACCUUGCCAAUGAUUUGUCCCACAAAUGAAACAUGCAAAUCAAAAAAUUGUAGGCAAUUAAUAAGAGGGACCUAUUAUUAACUGCCAUGUAAUCUGAAAUCCUGGUGCAAAGAGAGUAUGAAGUGUCCUCAUUGGAGGUUUAAAUUCUGCAGCACUGCAAGUCCAGUCAGUAUUUUACAUAUUUAGAAAAAUCCAGGGGUAUGAGAUCUAACUCAGCCAUGCCACAAGUGUAACUAAUUGUAGAUUUGAGAUCUACACUUCUGUGUUCCCAGCUUAACCUAAGCCCCAAGGUAAGUGUGGGGAUCCAUGCUGGCGUAUGUUUAGUCCUACAUCGGUUAUUCGCUGGGUAGAUCUUAGGUACUUAUACAUAAUCAAGGAACCCAAAUAAUACCUUCCGGUUAGCCAUUUUUGGUUGAGAUCCUGAGUUGUUACAAAUGGUAUCAGAGCGGACCCGGCCCAUAACCUAUAUGGACUAGGAGACACUGCAGCAUGGAUCCAUUGGGGCUAACCACGGGCCAAUCGUGAUGUUUGUGAUUAGAUUUGAAUAGAUAUGAACCCUUAGCCCGACGAGGAUGUCAGGGUUUGAACUGGGGAAGUAUGUGAGGAUCCAUGCGGGCGUGUGUUUAGUCUCACAUUGGUUAUUCGUUGGGUAGAUUUUGGGUACUUAUACAGGAUCAAGGAACCCAAAUAAUACUUUUCGACUAGCCAUUUUAGGUGAGAUCCUAAGUUGUUACACUAAGCAUGCCUACUCAAAUUUGUUACUUAGUAGGAGGAUGCAAGUUAAACAAAUCGACUCAGGUGGUCACUUAACUUAGGCCUGAGAUAGUUAAUUAAUUGUCCAUUUUUAACUUGAACCUAGCCAAAUAGAAAAACCAACAACUUGAACCCAAACUAGACUUGACUAAAGAAAUGUUCGAUCCAAGCACCGUUCAAGCUCGAGCUGGCUCAGGUUGUAUUUGGUCAAACCAGGUCAAAUAAACAUAAUAGCAUAGCUAUGUUUUCACUAUGAUAAAUAAUAUAAUAUCUCAAUUUUGAGUUGGAUGAGGUUAUUGACCUUUAUACAGAAAACAUUGGUGGUAUGUUAUAAGGCCCAGACUUGAACCUGAUUUUAACUCAGCUUGGAUAUAAAGGAUUUUUUUGCAAAUAAUCACACCCAAGCUUUUGCCGACAUUACAUAUAAAGUAGGUAAAUUAAUCAUAAAAUGUACUAGAGUCCCCGAGAAUGCCUAUGAUAAUGAUCUCAUAAGAUCUAUUGAUAGAACCUUAACUCAAGAUUCUCAAUGAAAUAUAGAUAGACUUUAUUUGGAUCUUUUUGCUAACAGUGAUAGGGAGAGGUUUUGUAUGUAAUAUAGGCAAAAUAUUGAAUGUGACAUGCAAAACACCUAUGCCCAUUAGAGAGGUGGUCCAUGUGCAAUUUAGUGGCCAGAAAAGAGAAAGCGGACUCCAAAGUCUUUGAUGGGAACCUCCAAGCCUUCCUCCAUCAAAGAAGACAUAAGGCUUUUGAUUGUUAUCUAGAACUUAAUGCAACCAUGGUUUUUCCUUCUAGAGGUGAUGGUCUUAUUUUAUCAAUUCGGUAUAGAAUUCGGUAUUUGGCUGAGAGUUAUAUGGGUCUGCUUGAUGGGAAAUUAUAAAAAUAGACCUAGAGCCGCAAUCGUGAUGUGAUGGAUGGGGAUGGGAGGAGCAUUUGGGGCCAUGCGACCGGCCAGAACCCGCCCUGCAUGGACCCAUCUCUUAUUGAUGCCAGGGCCGAUAUUUCAACAAAGCUUGGUUGGCUUUGACCCAAUUGUUAGCUGUGGCGAAGCUGGUCGAUUAGUGUGGUUGAAAAAUGAUUUCAUUCCUUAUCUUUUCUGCAUUAAAAUCCAUAAUUUAUUCUUAUUCUUUAUUCUAAUGCCAGUUGAAAUAAUUUAUUUUUUUUAGUGCUAGUCUAUUUUAGUUAAAUUGAAUUUUAAGCUUAAUGUUUUUUAAUUUAUUUUCAAUUGAAGUGGGAUAGCAAUAGUAUAGCUUUAUAAAUAGAGAGAGAGAGAAAGUUACACGCAAAGAAAUCCAAAGAAUUCUUAUAAAAGAAAGUCGAACUUAUUGUUUUGGCUUAUUAUUUUUUUUGAACUAAAUUUAUUUUUUCUCUUAUUUUUUAAUUACUAUUUUCUUUUUGUAAUUCUCUGCAAAUAUUUUUUCGUGUUUGGUGUUUAUUCUAGAUUUUGGGCCGGCACAAUCAAUCUAUUCUGCAUAGCAUAUCAUUUUAUAUGGUAUUAGAACCAUAGGCUUGGAGGUCAAUUGUUCAUGUAUUCGUAGGUUGAUAUUGUUAAAGAGCUUCCAGUAGUUUGUCAUGUAGUGGUGCAAACAUAUAGAUUUUUGUUUGAUGAUUCAAAAGAAGAAUCAUCAUGGUUGAAUGUUCUACCAUCUCCCGCACUAGGAUCGAAAAAAUUAAACAACACAAAUUAUACAUAUCGAAAGGCCUACAUUAAGUCUUAUUUGAUUGAGUAAGAUUCAUGGGAGCUUGUGAACAAGACAAAUAUGGUGAAGCCGCUAGAAACUCCUGACCAUGCAAAAGUGGGGAAAACGUAAGAGAUCAAAGCUAGAAACACUAUGUAUAUUCUUAAGACCAAUAUAGAUGAAGAAAAUUAUCAGUAUAUUCAAAAUAUAGAGGAGCAGAAAGUAACAUGGGAUAUUCUUGCUACUCUCCACUUAAAGUCUAACAAGGCUUGGCUUCAAUUUUUGGAGAAUGAAAUUGGUGCUCUCUUAGUAUGCUUGAUCCAAAUUCUCGUUAUGAUAAAAAUAAAUGGCGUAGCCUAUUACUUUGUGAUUUAAAUGAAGACUAUAGUGCUUAUAUGCUUGCUAUAUCUGGAUGUGCUCAACAACGUACAUUAGCACAUGACACUCAUAUGCAUGAUUUGACUAUAUCCCCUUAGAAAGAAGAGACCUUAUUUUUUGGUAGUAAAAGUAAAAAUAAGAAGUGAAACAAUAAAGUCAAAAAUUUAGAAAAUAGGCUAGUCGAAGAAUCUAAGAAGUAAAAAAUCCUAAUCGGAAGGAAAAAUUAUAAAUUCAAGGCGAAUUAUCAUAGAUGUCAAAAAUUUGGCUACAAAAUUCAAAAUUGUAGGAUGAAGCACAAAUAAUUUAAUAUUGCAUUUCUACAUCAAAGUAUGGGGCAAAGAAGAAAACUAGUAGUUAGGCUCUUACUACUAUUAUUGUUGAUUCUAGUUAUCCUGAUAGCCAGCAUACAAAUAUUUUCACUUCUUCUCAUGUACCAAAUAUUGAUUUUACUCAUGAUUGGAUUGUUAAUUCUGAGUGUUCUAACCAUUUGACUAGUCAUAGGGAGAUAUUUGAUUCUUUGUGUGCUUAUAGUGGUUUUGAUGCUAUUACUACUACCAAUGAUUCACUUUAUUCUAUCAAAAGUAUUGGUGAAUUCUCUCUCAUAUCAUCUAUUGAUUUUUUUGUUUCUACGAAUAAUAUUUAUUAUAUGCUUGGUAUGAAGAAUAAUUUGACUUUUGUUUUAUAAAUCAUAAAUAAAGGAUAUUUUGUUUUAUUUGAAUCUGAUAUUGUGGAGAUUUAUGCUAAUGUUAAAGCUUCUAGAAAGCUUAUUACUCAAGGCAAGAAAAUAAGCAAGCUUUAUGUUAUGACUGCUAAUAAUUCUUAUGUUAAUCGGACUCUUCACCAUGAUACCGCUGAUUCAUGACAGGUGAUGAGGGUCAAAAUGGAUCGUCCAGCCCACAACAAAAAGGGGCCCAAUUUUGGCCCGAUAGAUACCAAUGCUGAUCAGACAUUUCCUUAGUUCGGCCUAGAAUCAGCCUGAUCUCAGACUUCACCGACAGUUCCUCCAUUGCCCUCCUUAUUCGCCGACGCGCCCGACCAAGUUCGGGUGCCUUCCUUAUUCGCCGACGCGUUCGACCAAACUCGGGCGCUUUCCUUACUCGCCGACGCGCCCGACCAAGCUCGGGCGCCCUCUUUAUUCGCCGACACGCCCGACUAAGCUCGGACACCCUCUCCAGUACUGCACCCCGACCCUCAAACUCGGGGCGCUCCACCAAGUACACUCCGGAACCCGGGAUGCUAGGCUGGUCUCAACACCCGCCUAACCAACCUCUCAACGAGCUCAGCCCUGCCAACAAUCGUACCCAUGUGCGUGCCUCCGCCCUCCUACGAAGCUACGCACUACGACGCCACUACGCCGUGCUUCGCUUAUCAGCCCACGACAGCCAUGGGCAACGCCUUACCAUUCCCCAAAACAGACUCCACUGCGCACCGCACGCAAGCUUAAGCUGUGCGCCACUCCCGCUCAUAAUGGGAAUGGGCCAUGCCCUGCUACGGCUCAACGUCUCACCAUUCCCCAGAGCAGACUCCACCACGCGCCACAAGUAAGCUCAAGCUGUGCGCCACUCCCUCUCAUAAUAGAGAUGGGCCAUACCUCUGCCACCUAAGCGCUCCUAUCAGGACUAUAAAGGACCCCAAUAGGUAACCCUUAGGAGGAUUUUUUGGGCUGGAUAUACAAAGUUCCACUCUAACUUGAUCGUCAGAGGAUCCUCACCGGAAACACUGGUGAGGCUUUGUGCAGGUACACCGCCUGCCGCAGGGGGUGGCUCUCCCCGUCUUCUUCUGUGCUCCGGCAACUCCUCCGACUCCUCCAGUGUGGUCACCCUCGGGCCAGAUUUGAACCACAACAACAGGCUAGAUUGAUGCAUGUGUUAGACUUCAAGAUAUGCAAAUAGAACAACAUGGUAUAGAGGAAGAAUAGGCAUCUAUUUGAGACUAUCCACAAUAUGAUUUAUGCAAUGAAUGUGAAGUAUGAAUUCUAUACAGAGUGCAUGCAGACAAUAAUAUAUGUUCUUAGCAGGAUACUUUUAAGAAGUAUUGAUAAUAUGACUCCUUAUGAAAAAUUAUUUGGAAAUUGCCAAUUUUUCUCAUCUUCAUGUGUUUGGAUGUGUUUGCUUUGUGCAUGGCUGUGAUACAUUCUCUAAUAAGCUAGAUAAGAAAUCUAUCAAAUAUAUAUAUUUUGGCUAUGAUGAGGCUAGGAAAGGUUAGAGAUGCACUAAUUCUGAGACAAUGAAGAUUUAUAUCUCCAGACAUAUUGUUUUUUAUAAGAGCUCUUCUUGAUGGUCUUCUGAUGGGUUUAAUUUUUUAGUUGGUGAGUUUAGAGCAGUUUUUGAUGAGGACCGAAUAUAUUAGAAGGAUGUUGUUCCCACAAAAAUUGAUGAACCUUCUUUCCCUUUCCCAGCUUCUUUUUUGUUAGCUCAACAACAAGAAUCUUCUUCAUCUUUGCCUACUUCGGAUGCUUAUGAAAGUCUAUGAAAAACUAGUGCACAUGCCUCAAAUUCUAAAAAAAAAAGGACAUAUUAUUAGAUAAGAACGAAGAUAGAAAGUUUCUUGAAGAUGAAACUGAAACUCCCGAGGAUCCAUUACCAUUGUAGAAAAGCAAGAAAGAGGAAAUCAGUUGACAGGUAUGGAGAUUAGGAUUAUUUUUUUUAAUGAUCAGCUAAAACCUACUUUAUAUGAUGAGGCUAAAAGCAUUAUUGUUUGGGAGGAUGCAUCAAAGAAGAAAUUUCAGCUUUUAAGAAGAAUAAGACAUGGGAUUUGGUUCCUUUACCUACUAUUAUUUCUCCUAUUUCUUGUAAGUGAGUCUAUAAGAUAAGAAAAGAGAGAGAUUUUCACAAAGGACUAACUGGCGAAUAUCUUAUCAAAGAAUUAGCAGUUAUAAAUUUAAAGAUUUGCAUAGCAAACUCGAUGUUAUCAGCAUAGACUUCGUAAUGAGAGGUUGAGUAUCAUUGCUCAUUUAUACUAGAAUUCCCUUCCUAGUUUUAUUCUAUUUAGUCAUCCUACUUAAAAUAAAUAUUUUUUUAUUCUACUUAGUUAUUCCUUCUAGAAUAGUUAUUUUUUAUCCUUUAGUAGUUAUCAAAGUUUGUCUUUUAGUAAGUGUUGGUCUUUUAGUAGGUACCUUCACGCCUCUUUUGGAAAGCAUGGAAAAAGAGAGAGAGUGGGAGAGAGUGAGAGUGUCCUCCUUGGUGAGAUGUCUUUGUGAAAGAGAGCCGAACUCAUUUUUUUUGGCCUUUAAUAAAUUUAUUUUGUCUUCCAAAUUUUUCUUCUGCUAUUAUUUUCUUCUCGCAAUUCUUUGCAAAUAUUCUUUUAUGUUUGUUGUUUGUUCUGAAUUUUAGGUCAGUGUAAUCAAUCUACUCCAAAUAACAUGCCGUUCUACAACCAUGAUCCAAACACUGUAGACCAUAAAAAUGCUUCAAAUAGUAAAGUUUCUAAACAUAAUCUAGUUCCUAAACAUUCCUCAAUACUUUUUAAAAGCUAGGGACCACCUCUCCUACAUGGAAGAAACAUAUGCAUCAAUUCGUUCUCUUUCCUUCUUCUUCCCUCCUGUGUGCUCGUUUAUCAAACUCUUUCACCUUCUCUUGCAUCUCACUUUAUAUUUUCUUUCCUACCUAUUGGGGGAAAAACCCCAAGUCAUCGCCACGGAGGCGCUCGGAUAGGGAGCGCCGACCGGAAAGGCGCUCGGCCAAAGAGCGCCGACCAGAGAAAGCGCCAAGAGGCGCCCAACCGAAAUAACCAAGUAGGGAUGCUCGGCUAGAAAGAGCCGACCAGCGGGCGCCGACCAAAGAAGCGCUCAAGUAGAAAGCGCUGACCAGAGACAGCGCCAUGCAGAGGCGCUCGGCUAGAAGGCGCUCGGCCAAAGAGCANNNNNNNNNNNNNNNNNNNNCAACACUACCCUUGAUGAAGCAUGCUCAUUUUAGCUCCUCCUUCUCUUUUAAAAAAUAAAAUAAUAAAUAAUCCAGUAUUGCAUAAUUGUUGGCCAACGACAACACUUUACAAAUAGAUCUCUACAUAGUUUUAGCACUAGUAGCUUCUGAAGUAUUCAUUGAAUAAUUGGUAAAUUGUUUCCCCUUCUUGUGUAUGUACAAAUUUAUUGAUUGUUCAAAAAAAACUGAUCAUAUUUUUCAUUAAAUCAUUAUUCAUCCAAAGCUCCAUUAUCAUAAAAUUAUUAUUUUAGAUUAUUAUUUUCAAUUAAAUUUUGUUAUCAUAAAAUUGAUAAUAAAAAGCUAACCUGCUUUCUCUGAAAAAAGCAUAAAGGAAGGUAAGAAACAAAAGCCAAAUGAAAUCGCAGCAUGUCAUUGGUAUAUAAAACCUAACAACUUUACCUACUCGACCAAUGCUAGGUACCUCAAGUUAGCUUGCUUCUGACUUACCAACUUUGGUGAUCUAGAAAAAAUUAUGGGCCAGCACAGUGGAUUAUUAAAAGAAGAGAACAUAAUGAUACAUCUUCUAACAUCAGUGAAUAUUUAAAUUCAAUACUCUGAAGAAACUUAGAAACAAGAUGGUGAUGUAUGCCGAACUAUAUCUACCAUCUUAACAUACCCAUAUCUUCUUCCCCAACCCUAUCAAUUAGGCUAUGAUUUCCAGCACCAUUUUGACUCCUCCACUCACGAAAAAGCGGCAUGGACAUUGAAUUCAAGAAUCUAUGAUUAUUUACUAAUAGUGGACUUGAAAUCAGGAAGAACAAAUUAGGAAUAGCUCAUGACCGAUGAUCAACUUACCAACUAAUAUAUUUUCUUUAGUAUAGGCCCCACCAAUUUUAUUUGACCAUCCUUGGAGAGCUCCUUUAUUCUUUGGGUGGUUAAUUGAGAGGGGCACAGAGUGCACAAAGAAUUGAAACAACCUUGCCAAUGAUUUGUCCCACAAAUGAAACAUGCAAAUCAAAAAAUUAUAGGCAAUUAAUAAGAAGGACCUAUUGUUAACCGCCAUGUAAUCUGAAAUCAUGGUGCAGAGAGGGUAAUGAAGUGUCCUCACUGCAGCACUGUAGUCGAGUCAGUAUUUUACAUAUUUAGAAAAAUCCAGGGGUAUGAGAUCUAACUCAGCUAUGCCACAAGUGUAACUGACUGUAGAUUUGAGGUCUACACUUAUGUGUUCCCAGCUUGACCUAAGCCCCAAGGUAAGCAUGCCUACUCGAAUUUGUUAAUUAGUUGAAGGAUGCAAGGUAAGCAAAUCGACUUGGGUGUUCACUUAACUUAGGCUCGAGAUAAUUAAUUAUCCUCAACUCGAACCUAGCCAAAUAGGAAAACUAACAACUUGAACCCAAACUAGACUUGACUAAAGAAAUGUUCGAUCCAAGCACAGUUCGAGCUCGAGCUAGCUUAGGUUGUAUGUGGUCAAACCAAGUCAAAUAAACAUAACAGCAUAGCUAUGUUUUCACUAUGAUAAAUUAUGUAAUAUCUCAAUUUUGGGUUGGAUGAGGUUAUUGACCUUUAUACAGAAAACAUUGGCGGUAUCUUAUAAGGCCCAGACUUGAACCGGAUUUUAACCCAGCUGUAAAUAAUUACUAUGCUUCAGACAGGUGAAGCUUGGAUCUAAAGGAUUUUUUGCAAAUAAUCACACCCAAGAUUUUGCCGACAUUACAUUUAAAGUACGUAAAUUAAUCAUAAAAUGUAGUAGAGUCCCCGAGAAUGCUUAUGAUAAUGAUCUCAUAAGAUCUAUUGAUAGAACCUUAACUCAAGCUUCUCAAUGUAAUAUAGAUAGACUUUAUUUGGAUCUUUUUGCAAACAGUGAUAGGGAGAGGUUUUGUAGCAAGAAAAUUGAAAAGUUCCAAAGACUUUGAUGGGAACCUCCAACCGUUCCUCCACCGAAGAAGACAUAAGGCUUUUGACCGUCAUCUAGAACUUACUGCGACCAUGGUUUGUCCUUCUAGAGGUGAUGGUCUGAUUUUUCUUCCGGCAAUCCGCUUUCGUUUACAAUCUCAACCAAUCAAACAUUAUUUAUUGGUUGUUCUUGUAUAUGACAGCAAGAUUUAACCUAACCAGUCUCUCAAGAGCUCUUAACUCUUCUUCCCUGCUCUCCCUUUCCAAAUGGAGAGAAACGGAGAAUAAAUAUUUACUUCUGCCCUUUUCCUCCUCUCUAGAAGAUGGCGAUGCGCCAUCAAUUUACUAUUAGAAAAAAUACUAAAAAUCACCUAUUGCACCGCCAUUGAAUUUAUCAGUUCGGUAUAAAAUUCGGUAUUUGGCUGAGAGUUAGAUGGGUCUGCUUGAUGAAUUCGGUAUAGAAUUCAUCAUCUUAUCCGCCAUACAUGUGUCAUAUGCCCCGAGAAUUGGCUCGAUCCACCAUCAAGUAUUGACCAUGUAGUAUCAAAUCUCAAUCGCCACAUUAACCUUAUCAAUUGAGCGAUAAUUUACAUUAUUUAUCCAACUUAACAAGCAUAAAAUAUCCUUAAAAAAACAAUAAUAUAAGUUGUUCAUAUCAUUGGCUACAUAGUAAUAAAGCACGUGAGACUCACAAAUCCCCCGUGGCCCCGGCACCCAACUCCGCACCAUUCCGCACUUUAACAAAGCCAGCACGACCGCGCCACGAAAAGAUAAACCCCAAGUCAAUAUCGGCGGCCGAAGGAGCUCUCGUUUCACACCGUCCCGCUAACCAGCAAACCAGAAACCCAAACCAGCUCAUGAAACCCACUCGCCCGUGGACUUGGGACCCACCUGAUCCCACCCAGAACGAAGCCGCCCCACCUCCCCCAUUUCCCGAGACUCCCGUCCCUCAUUAUUUAGCAGCAGCGGCAGCCAAGAAGAGCAGAGUGAAGAAAAAAGAAAGGAAAAGCCAAUUUGUUCUUCCCUUCUCCAAAAAAUGCCCCCAUCCAUUCUAUUCUAUCUCCUCCUCCUCUGCCUCUGCCUCCUCCCAGGAGGCGGCAGCGGAGACGAGCUCCAAAUUCUCUUAGACCUCAAGACCUCUCUCGGGCUCAACGACAUCGAAGGCUUCGAGUCCUGGACGCCGGACAAUUCCCCCUGCAACUUCACCGGAAUUGUGUGCAAUUCCGCCAACUCCGUCGCCAAGAUCAACCUAAACAGCAAGGGUAUUUCAGGAAAGCCACCGUUCUCUUCUCUCUGCCGACUCCCCGCCCUCUCUGAGCUCUCCCUUGGAUCCAAUCACCUGUCUGGUACGUUCGCCGCCGACAUCAGGACCUGCACCGGGCUCCAGCGACUGGAUCUCGCCUUCAACAAAUUCACCGGAGUCGUCCCCGACUUGUCCCCUCUCAACAAGCUCGAGGUAUUGAAUCUCUCCGAUAACGGGUUCUCGGGUCUGUUCCCAUGGAGCUCUCUCGGUAACCUCACCGAGUUGGUGGUUCUGAGCCUGGGGGAUAACGGGUUCGAUGAAAGCCCGUUUCCCCCGGUGGUGGCGGAUCUAACCAAGCUCACCUGGCUCUACCUCUCUGAUACUAAUAUCAAGGGCGAAAUCCCGCCGUGGAUCGGGAAUCUGACGGAGCUCCGGGAUCUCGAGCUCGCCGACAACUUCCUCACCGGGGAGAUCCCGCCGGAGAUCGUGAAUCUGAACAAGCUCUGGCAGCUCGAGCUGUACAAUAAUUCGCUCGCCGGAAAGAUCCCGACGGGGUUCCGGAACCUCUCCGAUCUCGUCUUCUUCGAUGCGUCGAUGAAUAAUUUGGAAGGGGAUCUCUCCGAGCUCCGGUUCCUCAACAAAUUGCUCUCUCUCCAGCUCUUUUAUAAUGAUUUCUCCGGUGAGGUCCCGCCGGAGUUCGGGGAUUUCAGGGAUCUGGUGAAUCUUUCUUUGUAUAGUAAUCGUCUCUCCGGGAAGCUUCCGGCUAAGCUAGGGAGCUGGGCGAAGUUUAAUUUUAUUGAUGUGUCGACCAAUUUCUUCACCGGCGAGAUCCCGCCGGAUAUGUGCCGGUUGGGGACGAUGACGAGGCUGCUUGUGCUCGAGAACAACUUCUCCGGUGAGAUUCCGGCGAGCUAUGCGAAUUGUUCUUCGUUGAUCCGGUUUCGGGUGAGCAACAAUUCGCUCUCCGGCGUGGUUCCCGCCGGGAUCUGGAGCCUACCGAACGUGAACAUAAUCGAUCUGGCCCUGAACCAGUUCGAAGGUACGAUCGACGCCGGCAUCGGGAAGGCGAAAUCACUCGCCCAGCUGUUUAUCGACAACAACCGGUUCUCCGGCGAGUUGCCGCCGGAGAUCUCGGGAGCGUCGUCGCUUGUGCAAUUCGACGCCACCUAUAACCAAUUCUCCGGCGAGAUCCCGGCAAGCAUCGGCGGAUUGCAGCAGCUUCAGUCUCUCUACCUCCAGCACAACUCAUUCUCCGACGAGAUACCGGAAAUCAUAGGCUCAUGCAGCUCUCUCACCACUAUUGACCUUGCAAGCAACAGCCUCUCCGGCACAAUCCCGGCGACCAUCGGCGAUCUCCCUAACUUAAACUCGCUGGACCUCUCAAACAACCAGCUCUCCGGCCAGAUCCCGGCGAGCCUCUCUUCUGUCAAAUUCAGCGCUUUCAACCUAUCCAACAACCAACUCACCGGCCCGGUGCCGGCGGGCCUUGCUAUCGACGCCUACAUCACUGGCUUUGCCGGCAACCCCGGCCUCUGCAGCGACGAUACCGGCUACCUCCGGCGCUGCUCAUCGAAGCUCGGAGGUUCAUCCGACAAGCUCCGCACCAUCCUAACCUGCUUGCUUGCCGUUUCCGCCCUCCUCCUCGCCGCCGUCGGCCUCUUCCUCUUCAUCAAGAAACGCCGGUCCGACCGCAACCAGCGGAUGGCGAAAGAUCCGUCGUGGGAUUUGAAAUCAUUCCGGAUUCUGAGCUUCGACGAGCAGGAGAUCAUCAACUCGAUCAGGCAAGAGAAUUUGAUCGGCAAAGGCGGGUCGGGGAACGUGUACAGGGUGGAGCUAGGGAGCGGGAAGGUGGUGGCGGUGAAGCACAUCUGGAACGACCCCAUGGCCGCCGCCGCCGCCAACAUGAACAGCAGCUGGGAGAAGGGUGGUACCACGGCGGCGAUGCUGUCGGGGACGCGGCGGUCGGGGUCGGUGAGGUCGAGGGAGUUCGAGGCGGAGGUGACGACUUUGAGCUCCAUCCGGCACGUCAACGUGGUGAAGCUCUACUGCAGCAUAACGAGCGAGGACGCAAGCCUUCUGGUUUACGAGCACCUGCCCAAUGGUAGCCUUUGGGACAGGCUGCACACGGAAUCGUGUGGGCAACAAGGUGGGUUGGGGUGGGAAACGAGGCACGAGAUCGCGGUGGGCGCGGCGAGGGGAUUGGCCUACCUGCACCACGGCUGGGGCCGCCCGAUACUUCACCGGGACGUCAAGUCGAGUAAUAUACUGCUGGAUGAGUGCUUCAAGCCUCGGAUUGCCGACUUUGGCCUCGCCAAGGUACUUUACGCGGCCGGAGGUGGUGAUUCCUCGGCGCAUGUCAUCGCUGGCACCCACGGCUACAUCGCCCCCGAAUAUGCCUACACAUGGAAGGUGAACGAGAAGAGCGACGUGUACAGUUUCGGAGUGGUUCUAAUGGAGCUGGUGACGGGCAGAAGGCCGAUAGAGCCCGAGUUCGGUGAGAACAAGGACAUAGUCUGCUGGGUUUCCCGGAGGAUGAACAGCGGGGAGAGCGCGGUGGAGCUGGUGGACAGGACAAUUCCGGACUGGGGGAGGGAGGACGCUGUGAAGGUGCUGAGAGUCGCGGUGCUCUGCACGGCGAGGCUUCCGGCAAUGAGGCCGUCCAUGAGGACGGUGGUCCAGAUGCUGGAGGAGGCCGAAGCCANNNNNNNNNNNNNNNNNNNNNNNNNNNNNNNNNNNNNNNNNNNNNNNNNNNNNNNNNNNNNNNNNNNNNNNNNNNNNNNNNNNNNNNNNNNNNNNNNNNNNNNNNNNNNNNNNNNNNNNNNNNNNNNNNNNNNNNNNNNNNNNNNNNNNNNNNNNNNNNNNNNNNNNNNNNNNNNNNNNNNNNNNNNNNNNNNNNNNNNNNNNNNNNNNNNNNNNNNNNNNNNNNNNNNNNNNNNNNNNNNNNNNNNNNNNNNNNNNNNNNNNNNNNNNNNNNNNNNNNNNNNNNNNNNNNNNNNNNNNNNNNNNNNNNNNNNNNNNNNNNNNNNNNNNNNNNNNNNNNNNNNNNNNNNNNNNNNNNNNNNNNNNNNNNNNNNCGCUGAGCUCCAUCCGGCACGUCAACGUGGUGAAGCUCUACUGCAGCAUAACGAGCGAGGACGCAAGCCUUCUGGUUUACGAGCACCUGCCCAACGGUAGCCUUUGGGACAGGCUGCACACGGAAUGGUGUGGGAAACUAGGUGGGUUGGGGUGGGAAACGAGGCACGAGAUCGCGGUGGGCGCGGCGAGGGGAUUGGCCUACCUGCACCACGGCUGGGACCGCCCUAUACUCCACCGGGACGUCAAAUCGAGUAAUAUACUGCUGGACGAGUGCUUCAAGCCUCGGAUUGCCGACUUUGGGC
rnacentral:lncRNA from 1 species